CGCUGGUCACACGCAGUCAGCUCUGGCGGGUGCAUUUGCACCACGAGAAGUGAGUUGUUAAACAUUUACCAGCACACACGCUGCAGGGGACCUAAGGAGAGUGAUGGCACUGGAAAGAGGAAUGCUCCUGCUUCUAAUCCUCCUUGAUAGAGGCGCUCCCCUUUUGUUUUUGAAGAAUUUAUAGAAGCUUUUCCACCGGGGAGCUUCAGCUAGGUCUUCUCAUCAGUGCUGUGUGCCAGACAAGCCAGAUGAUCAAGGAAGUACCUACACUUUGGACACUGUCAGUUUGCCUGGGGACUGAGAGCUUACAGUCCAAGCUUGCUUCAACUCUGGCUGAGGCCAACAGAGAGAGCCCAAAGACAACUGAAGGAGCGGCAGAAAACAAAUAUGGGAACGGGGCUUAAUCCCAUCGGGACUAAGGGAGGAGCCUUCCCUUCCAGCCUCACACAGGCAGACUAUCUCAAAAGAAAGAGAAAGCAAUUUUCCCUUGCAUGCUGGCUGUUUCACUUCCUUCUACUUUUAGGAAAUGCUGUAACUUCCAGUGAAAUCACCACGAUCAUCCCCCCAGAUUAACCCCACCUUCCAGUGGAAUCACUGUGACCACCCCUCCAGGAUCAACCACACCAUCCAGCGAAAUUACUGUGAACACUGCCCUGGACCAACCACACCUUCCAGUGGAAUCACCAUGACCACCCCUCCAGGAUCAACCACAUUAUCCAGCAGAAUCACCGUGACCACGCUCCCUGGACCAACCACACCUCCCAGUGGAAUCACUACAACCCCCCUGCCCUGGGUCCACUAUAUCUUCCAGUGGAACUAACACAACAACCGCAACCUCCAGUGUCACCAGCACAAGUGCAGCCCCUCCAGGGAAUGAGGGAAGGUCUAAUGGAUGCCUGAGGCUGUGGGAAGUCAUCCUAGUCACUCUGGCCUUGGUUGCAAUGGCUGUGAUUCUCUUCACAGGGCUCUUUUAUUUCAUGAGUGCCUGAUGUGUGGGAAAUCCUUUUUCUGAGGGAGGGAGUGCAGGGAACUGAGGAGGGAAGCAGGGUAGAGAGAGUAGGGUCAUUGUGUGGCUAAUAGGGAAUGAGAAAUCAGGAGAGGGACAAAGCAAGACAGAGACAGCAGGUGAGAACCAGCAAGAGAGAGGGCUAGAAAAGCUGGUACAUGUUCAGAGGAAAUUGAUGAGGAGAGAAGGGGCCAAAGGAGUACUGAGGCUGGGGAGGCCGAAUGGGGAGUGGGGACACGUGGGAUGGGAGAGCACUGGAAGAGGGGCAUAACUCUGAACCAUCCAUCCUUUUGUUUUCUAGAGAAACUCUCUGUGCCUAAGAAACCUCUUCACCAAAGAUCUUCACAUCCCAAACCUUGGUCCAUGUCCUCAAGGAUAUCAUGGAGUCCAAGAUGGGUCAAGUGAGACUGAAACGGAUUUUAGAGACCAGUGUUCUCCCACAGGCAUGGAGCUGAUGAGGAGACACAGUGUCCCUAAAGGCAGGCACUUCACUGUCCUCAGGGUGGGGAGGACCAGCGGUCUCGGUUUUCCUCACUUGCCCCCAGGGCUGCUCCUCCCAGCUCUGCUCCAGCCCCUGACACUCCUACCUUCUGUUUAGUUCUCCCAGACCUGAAACAGGAGGCUAUCGCUAGUGCUGAAUGAUUAAAUAAGUGCAUCUGCUCUAUGUGACAGCCAGACUGUGGGUGUGUGCUUGUAUAUUGCUGUGAAGAGAGGUUUCCUAUAUCAUGAGGACACUCUUUCGCUGUGACCUCCCAGUUCUCAAAUCCUAGCAUGAAAUCCAGAGACCUCACAUCUGUCCCAUUUUCUUCCCCACUCCUUCCCUGCUCCCCGAGGCCUCUGGGUCGAUGGAAGAACGGAGUCAGGAGAGAUGGGGGAAGGCAGGUGCUGGUCUUUACAGACGUGUGUUGCAUGGCAGGAAAACAGCCUCUGCGUGAGCCUAGAACAUGAACUGGAGGAAAGUGAUCCUGUUUUCAUGUUGUGAGGUAGGAAAGAGCUUGCUACUGGGGCCACCCUUAGACAUGGCCACUUUUCCUGGCCACUCACGUCUGCUCUGGGCUGCAGGUGUGAGUUGCCACCUUUCUCUCCUGUGGGCUCCCAGCCCAGCAACUGUCCUGGGCAGGGAGAAUGUGCUCCCAGUUUUUGCAAGGGCAGGACUGGCUUGCCCUGCUACGGUCUAGAUCCUCAGCAGCUCCCCCAAAACCAGGCCUCAGAGGGCACACAUGCCAGUGUCAGCACCAUGCUCAGGCCUGGUCCCACCCAGGCUUCUGGUGCAACUUGCUCUCGCACUCGCACACGCACCCCACUGAUUCUUCCUCCCUGUGAAUCACUCGCCUCUGCUUUAUCAGUUUCACCCUCUGCUAAGUCUCUUCAGCUUCUGGGAUUCUCCUGGGUCUUUGGGAGAGCCUUAACAGGACCAAGCUGUUUCUCUAAGA
rnacentral:lncRNA from 1 species